UGAGAGAGCUGAUUUGCCCAAACAGCCAAUUUAGAAAAGGCCAUCAAUUGCAGCGUUUCUUCACAGCCUAUUUCAAAAUUCUCUCAUUUGCCCUUCAUUCUUCUGCGCAAUUCUCUUAGUUUUUCUUCCUCGUAGCCGGAUGAUCUCCUCGUAGCUCUGCACGCAACUCUCCACGCAGCUCUCCAUUCUCUGAGCUGGUGUAAAGGAUCAAGCAUUGGUUGGCACAGUGACAACAAUAGGCCUUAUCUUAAACAACGAGACUUUGCGUCUUCCACCUUCCACAGUUCCACGCACAUCGCAACCGUCUGGGUGGUCUGACGCAGUGACGCGACUAUCUCCGGCGACGGCAACAACAACAACCGGAGGACCAUCUCGGUAUCUCACUCCGGCCGACACAAACGGGGAAGCGGAGAAGAAAGGAGAUUGAAACCAGCGUAUCAGAGAAAGACAACGAGAAAUGAGAUCGCCAAGGUGGGGGUAUUUUCGGAUAAUCACAGGGACUAUUGCCGGAGGCAUUCUUGGCUUCUAUGUAAUGCAUCGUGCUGAGCUCAAGUACAAGGAGAUUUGGAAUGAAAGAUUGAAGAAGUAUGAAGAAGAGAUGAAGAUGAAGCAAAGCAAAGAAGCACCCUCUGAAUUUCAAGAGACCUUUAGCACCCGGGGAUAAACUCCUGAAAUGACAAAAGGACAGUAUCUAGUGGUUUUUGACAUUCAAAUAUGAAGUGGUUCAUUGAACUAUGUAGAUGAGAAAAGAGAUUACCCCCUUUCAGAUAUUGAUGACAAGGGAUGAUUAUUAACACUUCUCCGAGUUCAAAAGCUUUGGCUAGUGAAUUGAAUAUGGGUUUCUUCAUGUGAAUGAAGAGAAUGUUCUUGAAUAUUAUGCAAUGCAUUCUGUGAAAUGACAUUAAUUUUGAGUUAAUACUAUUCCUUUCAAUUUGAUUGCCGCCA